rnacentral:rRNA from 1 species
GACGAACGCUGGCGGCGUGCUUAACACAUGCAAGUCGAACGGAAAGGCCCUGCUUUUGUGGGGUGCUCGAGUGGCGAACGGGUGAGUAACACGUGAGUAACCUGCCCUUGACUUUGGGAUAACUUCAGGAAACUGGGGCUAAUACCGGAUAGGAGCUCCUGCUGCAUGGUGGGGGUUGGAAAGUUUCGGCGGUUGGGGAUGGACUCGCGGCUUAUCAGCUUGUUGGUGGGGUAGUGGCUUACCAAGGCUUUGACGGGUAGCCGGCCUGAGAGGGUGACCGGCCACAUUGGGAUUGAGAUACGGCCCAGACUCCUACGGUAGGGAGCUGUGGGGAAUAUUGCACAAUGGGCGGAAGCCUGAUGCAACAACGCCGCGUGCGGGAUGACGGCCUUCGGGUUGUAAACCGCUUUCUCCUGUGACGAAGCGUGAGUGACGGUAAUUGGUAAAGAAGCACCGGCUAACUACGUG